rnacentral:lncRNA from 1 species
CAGCUCCCAAGAUAUAUUAAGGUGUAAAUAAAGAUGAGAGUGAGAACAUUGGAAUAAUACAGAAAUCUGAACAUGGGACGCUUUCAGACAGGAAGGAGUGUCAUAAUGUUGUCUGUGAAGUCCAGUAACCACACUGUUGUCUGUGAAGCCCAGUAACCACACUGUUGUCUAUGAAGCCCAGUAACCAGACUGUUGUCUGUGAAGUCCAGUAACCUCAGAAAGGGUCCUGUCUGUCUCAGCUGUAAUACCAGUCUACAGGGUAACAGUCUGGUGGUCCAGUCUACAUGGUAACAGUCUGCUGGUCCAGUCUACAGGGUAACAGUCUGCUGGUCCAGUCUACAGGGUAGGAGGGGAACAGUCUACAUGGUAGGAGGGUAACAGUCUGGUGGUCCAGUCUACAGGGUAACAGUCUGCUGGUCCAGUCUACAGGGUAACAGUCUGCUGGUCCAGUCUACAGGGUAACAGUCUGGUGGUCCAGUCUACAGGGUAACAGUCUGGUGGUCCAGUCUACAGGGUAACAGUCUGGUGGUCCAGUCUACAGGGUAACAGUCUGGUGGUCCAGUCUACAGGGUAACAGUCUGGUGGUCCAGUCUACAGGGUAACAGUCUGCUGGUCCAGUCUACAGGGUAACAGUCUGCUGGUCCAGUCUACAGGGUAACAGUCUGGUGGUCCAGUCUACAGGGGUAACAGUCUGGUGGUCCAGUCUACAGGGUAACAGUCUGGUGGUCCAGUCUACAGGGUAACAGUCUGGUGGUCCAGUCUACAGGGUAACAGUCUGGUGGUCCAGUCUACAGGGUAACAGUCUGCUGGUCCAGUCUACAGGGUAACAGUCUGGUGGUCCAGUCUACAGGGUAACAGUCUGGUGGUCCAGUCUACAGGGUAACAGUCUGCUGGUCCAGUCUACAUGGUUUAGCUUAUAAAACGGUCCAGAAACACAGAAAGGCGUUAAAAUGAAUUUCCAUUUAACAGUCAAUAAGACAAGUUAGUAAACAACAACAGUUUGUCUGUCAGGUGUCCUGCCGUCCCUGUUGGUUAGUAAAGUGUCCCAACGGUGGCCUGUCUAGGACAGGUCAGUUACAGACAGACAGACAGGUUGUGUAGUCUAGGACAGGUCAGUUCCAGACAGACAGACAGGUUGUGUAGUCUAGGACAGGUCCGUUACAGACAGACAGGUUGUGUAGUCUAGGACAGGUCAGUUACAGACAGACAGGUUGUGUAGUCUAGGACAGGUCAGUUCCAGACAGACAGACAGGUUGUGUAGUCUAGGACAGGUCAGUUCCAGACAGACAGACAGGUUGUGUAGUCUAGGACAGGUCCGUUACAGACAGACAGGUUGUGUAGUCUAGGACAGGUCCGUUACAGACAGACAGACAGGUUGUGUAGUCUAGGACAGGUCCGUUACAGACAGGUUGUGUAGUCUAGGACAGGUCCGUUACAGACAGACAGACAGGUUGUGUAGUCUAGGACAGGUCAGUCACAGACAGACAGACAGACAGACAGGUUGUGUAGUCUAGGACAGGUCAGUCACAGACAGACAGACAGACAGACAGGUUGUGUAGUCUAGGACAGGUCAGUUCCAGACAGACAGACAGACAGGUUGUGUAGUCUAGGACAGGUCAGUUCCAGACAGACAGACAGACAGGUUGUGUAGUCUAGGACAGGUCCGUUCCAGACAGACAGUCUAGGACAGGUCAACGACAGACAGGCUGUGUAGUGACAGACAGCUGAUAUGAACAGUGAUUAGAGUGUAGUAAUAACAAUAGAAAAGAUAAUUACGACAGUGACAUUAAAGACCUAACAUUUAUCCCCCGUUAACCACAGUCCUGGAAUCAGAUGUUAACUCCUGUCUCUACAUAGUGGAGGUUAGACCCCCGUUAACCACAGUCCUGGAAUCAGAUGUUAACUCCUGUCUCUACAUAGUGGAGGUUAGGACCCCCCGUUAACCACAGUCCUGGAAUCAGAUGUUAACUCCUGUCUCUACAUAGUGGAGGUUAGGACCCCCUGUUAACCACAGUCCUGGAAUCAGAUGUUAACUCCUGUCUCUACAUAGUGGAGGUUAGGACCCCCGUUAACCACAGUCCUGGAAUCAGAUGUUAACUCCUGUCUCUACAUAGUGGAGGUUAGGGGACCCCCUGUUAACCACAGUCCUGGAAUCAGAUGUUAACUCCUGUCUCUACAUAGUGGAGGUUAGGGGACCCCCUGUUAACCACAGUCCUGGAAUCAGAUGUUAACUCCUGUCUCUACAUAGUGGAGGUUAGGGACCCCCUGUUAACCACAGUCCUGGAAUCAGAUGUUAACUCCUGUCUCUACAUAGUGGAGGUUAGGGACCCCCUGUUAACCACAGUCCUGGAAUCAGAUGUUAACUCCUGUCUACAUAGUGGAGGUUAGGGACCCCCCGUUAACCACAGUCCUGGAAUCAGAUGUUAACUCCCGUCUCUACAUAGUGGAGGUUAGGGACCCCCGUUAACCACAGUCCUGGAAUCAGAUGUUAACUCCUGUCUACAUAGUGGAGGUUAGGGACCCCCGUUAACCACAGUCCUGGAAUCAGAUGUUAACUCCUGUCUACAUAGUGGAGGUUAGACCCCCCGUUAACCACAGUCCUGGAAUCAGAUGUUAACUCCUGUCUACAUAGUGGAGGUUAGACCCCCGUUAACCACAGUCCUGGAAUCAGAUGUUAACUCCUGUCUCUACAUAGUGGAGGUUAGGACCCCCGUUAACCACAGUCCUGGAAUCAGAUGUUAACUCCUGUCUCUACAUAGUGGAGGUUAGGGACCCCCCGUUAACCACAGUCCUGGAAUCAGAUGUUAACUCCCGUCUCUACAUAGUGGAGGUUAGGACCCCCGUUAACCACAGUCCUGGAAUCAGAUGUUAACUCCCGUCUCUACAUAGUGGAGGUUAGGGACCCCCCGUUAACCACAGUCCUGGAAUCAGAUGUUAACUCCUGUCUCUACAUAGUGGAGGUUAGACCCCCGUUAACCACAGUCCUGGAAUCAGAUGUUAACUCCUGUCUCUACAUAGUGGAGGUUAGGGACCCCCGUUAACCACAGUCCUGGAAUGAGAUGUUAACUCCUGUCUCUACAUAGUGGAGGUUAGGACCCCCCGUUAACCACAGUCCUGGAAUCAGAUGUUAACUCCUGUCUACAUAGUGGAGGUUAGACCCCCGUUAACCACAGUCCUGGAAUCAGAUGUUAACUCCUGUCUACAUAGUGGAGGUUAGACCCCCGUUAACCACAGUCCUGGAAUCAGAUGUUAACUCCUGUCUCUACAUAGUGGAGGUUAGACCCCCCGUUAACCACAGUCCUGGAAUCAGAUGUUAACUAGGUUAAGGGAUCUGAUGCUAGAUAGACAGAAAGGUUCAACCUCCUCGUUAUUCCGUCGACCCCCAGACAGGGGGGGGGGGCCCUGAUGAACUCCAGACAGGGGGGGGGGCCCUAAUGAACUCCAGACAGUUGUACAAUAACAGAUGUCAACAGAAACCAAAUCCCUUGUGUCUUUCACUCCCAAAUAAACACCGUCUCUCCCUCUUUCUGAGAAAGUUGAUCCACUCCGGUCACCAGUUCAUAUAUACACGCUGACCUCAGGGGUUAAAGUUCAUGUACAUAUUGACCUCAGGGGUUAAAGUUCAUAUACACGUUGACCUCGGGGUUGCUGUGUGUCAGGGUCAUAGGUCAGGGUCCUAAGCAGUGACCUCAGAAGUUGUGGCCGGUAACGGGAGGAGGGACACAGUGUACCGGACAGUGGAGUCGUCUCCAGCUAAGGACUAACGGUGAAGCAACAGUCACAGCUAAAUGAGCAUGUGCAAAAUCCCUGCUUAGUACACACACACACCCCUCACCGGGGCUGUAGAAGUUUAGUUAGAUUCACUCUGUGAUCAGAGACGAGCUUUAAAAAAACAGUCAGAACAGCCAGGAAUACUGUCUACAGGACACAGUCUCUGAGCUGAGAGAGGAGAGGGGGAAGAGAGAGAGAGAGAGAGAGCGGGAAGAGAGAGAGAGAGAGAGGAGCGGGGAAGAGAGAGAGAGAGGAGCGGGGAAGAGAGAGAGAGAGAGGAGCGGGGAAGAGAGAGAGAGAGAGGAGCGGGGAAGAGAGAGAGAGAGAGGAGAGGGGAAGAGAGAGAGAGAGAGGGAAGAGAGAGAGAGGAGCGGGGAAGAGAGAGAGAGGAGCGGGGAAGAGAGAGAGAGGAGCGGGGAAGAGAGAGAGAGAGAGGAAACGGGAAGAGAGAGAGGAAACGGGAAGAGAGAGAGGAGAGGAAACGGGAAGAGAGAGAGGAGAGGAAACGGGAAGAGAGAGAGGAGAGGAAACGGGAAGAGAGAGAGGAGAGGAAACGGGAAGAGAGAGAGGAGAGGAAACGGGAAGAGAGGAAACGGCGAGGUGGAAAGACUGAGGAGAGGAUUCCAGGGGUGUUGUCGAGGUGUUCCCUCACAACAGGAAGGGGUUGGUGGUCCCAGGAGGAUGUGUGCCCGCUGUGGGGGGCAGAGCUGAACUGAACAGGGGCUGGGACAUAGACACAGAGGUUGGGAUACCCCC